GGGUCCAUUUCUCCCAGGUGGAUGAAUUAUUUGCUUAAGUCACCUGCAAAGGUCUAUAUCCUUGCAAUUUGCGAAGUAAUUAAUUAGUAAUUGAGAGCUUUAUUUUCAAGCCCUCAGUUUGAAAUUCAGGCUUCUAUUGUUUUUAGACACACCUUGCUUAAUUUCACUGGAGACAAGUAGAUAGCUGCCUUCCAUCCUGUCUGGGGGAAAACCAGUUUCUCUGUGUGUUCAUUCACAGCCUUUAAAGCAUAAUACCACCCAAUAGACUGCAUAAGGUGAUCAAAAAGUUGUUGACCUGAAGACAAAGAUGGUGGAAGCCAACAGAUCUCCAUGAAAGAAGGUUUCUAAAUACUAAGGACUCUAGAUGAGGCUGGUACAGUACAGACCCGUUUACACGCGGAUGUCGGGAGUCAAGCCAUCACGACUGUGUGUUAAUGGACUGUGGGUUAAGAGGGUCAUGCUGAAAUAUCUUAAGAUAUCUAUAUAUACACACCACACGUAUAAUUAUCUAGGAUUACAUAUGUAUUCACAGCAUCCCAAAUACUGCAGGCCUAUCUGUUAACGGCGCUUUGCAAGAAUAUGAAGUCAAAUGUGUAAUCUAAUAAAAACAUUA